rnacentral:rRNA from 1 species
UACGAAGGUGGCAAGCGUUGUUCGGAUUUACUGGGCGUACAGGGAGCGUAGGCGGUUGGAUAAGCCCUCCGUGAAAUCUCCAGGCUUAACCUGGGAAUUGCAUUGAGGACUGGUGUGCUCGAGUGCGGCAGAGGGGGGUGGAAUUCCACGUGUAGCAGUGAAAUGCGUAGAGAUGUGGAGGAACACCGAUGGCGAAGGCAGCCCCCUGGGCCGACACUGACGCUCAUGCACGAAAGCGUGGGGAGCAAACAGG